rnacentral:rRNA from 1 species
UUGCUCUUCAACGAGGAAUGCCUAGUAAGCGCAAGUCAUCAGCUUGCGUUGAUUACGUCCCUGCCCUUUGUACACACCGCCCGUCGCUACUACCGAUUGAAUGGCUUAGUGAGGCUUUCGGACUGGCUCAGGGAGGUCGGCAACGACCACCCAGAGCCGGAAAGUUAGUCAAACUUGGUCAUUUAGAGGAAGUAAAAGUCGUAACAAGGUUUCCGUAGGUGAACCUGCGGAAGGAUCAUUACUGAGACUGGGUGCUUCGGCGCCCGACCUCCAACCCCCUGUCUACCUUACCACUGUUGCCUCGGCGUCUCUGCCCACCUCCCCUCGUGGGCGGUGGGGGGUGCGCGCCGGCGGCCAAAAACAAAAACCCUUUUUUUAAAUCAAGCAAUCUGAGAAAUUAUUUUAAUAACUUCAAAACUUUCAACAACGGAUCUCUUGGUUCUGGCAUCGAUGAAGAACGCAGCGAAAUGCGAUAAGUAAUGUGAAUUGCAGAAUUCAGUGAAUCAUCGAAUCUUUGAACGCACAUUGCGCCCACUGGUAUUCCGGUGGGCAUGCCUGUUCGAGCGUCAUUAUCAACCAUCAAGCUCUGCUUGGCAUUGAGUGUCACCUCCCCCCACGGGGUGGGCGCGCUUCAAACCGGUCGGCGGUGGCUCAGGCCUCUUAAGCGUUAGUAAUACUUCCCGCUUCUAGAGCCUGUGGUCGCCCGCCUCCAAAACCCAACACCUCAAGGUUGACCUCGGGUCAGGUAGGGAUACCCGCUGAACUUAAGCAUAUCAAUAAGCGGAGGA